UCAUUAUUUCAUCAUUUUUAAUCGUUUUUUAAUAUUCUUUGGUAAUUAGUAUAAAAUAGAAAAAAUUCUAAAUGAUAGCACUUUUUAAUAUUAUUUCAUCAUAAAAUAUUAAUGGUAACACUUUUUAAAAAAAAUUCCACAUAAUAAGGUCUAACAUUUGCGUUUAAAUUUUUCGUAACUUUAAACACACCAAAAUGUUAGUCCACCGUUACCAUCUAUUUUCGAGAACAACAAGCUAGCAUUUCAAUUGUCUCUGACCUUUUCAGUUCAUUCAAAGUGUGAGUGCUAUACCCAGCCACUGAUCUCCUUCGAGUAUCAUUACAUUCUCAGCCCCUCUCCUUCGACUUGUCUCCGGCCAGCUUGCAACUACUGUGACCUGCCAUCUCCUUCGAAGCUUCACAGAAUGCCUGAACAUAUGGUCUUAUGUUUUAAGUGGUUGUCUGUUGAAGUAGAUUUGGAUGUAAAUGAUAAGGAUAAAGUAAAUUUGUUGGAUUUGAUAAUGAAUUGGGAAGAUGAGUGCAUUAAAACUAACAAGCUUAUUUCUAAAAAUCCCUCAUUUGCGUAUGUUUGGAAGAUAGAAUCAUGUUAAACUUAAUUGUGAUCAAGACCUAAUGACCAUGUUUGAGAGGUUCAAUGACAAUGAAAUGAUUUUUAUUUGGGUUGGUGUUAAAAUCAGUUAGGAGUCUUAGGGAUUUUGCAAGUGUCACAAAAUCCUAUACCACUUAAAACCAUUCCCGCAAAAGAGAAAUUGCCAAUUAGGAGAAAGGAUUUGCAAGAGUUUGAGAUAAUAUUCCCUUUGAAUGACCACAAUGAGGUUCAACAUGAUAUUGCUGUGAUGAAUGCUACACAGGAUAAGUGGCAUGACAUGAAAGUAAAGUCAUCAUUAAAAGCUUUUGAAAAUAUUGUAAGGGUAACUAUGGUAAGGAUGGCCACAAGAAAGGAGAAGAGUGAAAACUGGAUAGACACUAAUUUCUGUUCUAAUAUAGUGAAGAGAGUGAAGUCCCUGAUUUCAGACUCUAAGAACAUGUAAGGCUUUCAAUUCUGGUGAUGGAUUUUAUGAGAUUAAAGAUGGUAAGUCCACCUUUUUUGUGAGCUUAAAUGACAGAACAUGCAUGUGCAACGCAUGGCAACUCACUGGGAUCCCUUGCAAGCAUGCUGUGAGGGCCAUUCUACAUUCAAGCCAAGAUCCCAUAAGGUUUUGCAGUGAUUGGUACAGUUGCAAAAUGUACAAGCAAGCAUAUGCAAGCACUAUUAAAUCUAUUCCAGACCCUGAGAGUUGGCCAGAAAUGCAGUUCCCACUAAUUAAGCCACCAGUGAUGAAGAGAGCAAUUAGAAGAACUGCAUAGAACAGAAAGAGGGAUGCAAACGAAGAACGAAAGGGGAAAAGGUCUAAGACUGUGAAGUGUAGGAGAUGCAAGGAGUUUGGACACAAUGUGAAGACUUGCAAGGAUGGAUUGAAGGCUAACCAAAAAAAGGAUAAAAGGACGAUUUCUACGCCGUCAUCUUCAAAAGCAUCCUAAAUAUAAUUAUGUAAAUACGUCUUAAUGCUAGAUAUGCAACUUUGAACUUUGAUAAUAGUAGUUUUUGAACUUUGAACAUAUGUACUAGUUCUUGAAGUGUACUUUUUGAACUUUAUAAUGCUAAUUAAGUAAAUAUGUAUUAGUGCUUGGAAAGCACCUUUUGAACUAUUAAAAUGCACCUUUUGAGCUUAUGAAAUACAUCGUUUGAAUUAUU